GGGUUCCUACGGGGGGCAGCAGUGAGGAAUAUUGGUCAAUGGGCGAGAGCCUGAACCAGCCAAGUCGCGUGAAGGAUGACGGCCCUACGGGUUGUAAACUUCUUUUGUCAGGGAGCAAUUGGGUCCACGCGUGGGCUUAGCGAGAGUACCUGAAGAAAAAGCAUCGGCUAACUCCGUGCCAGCAGCCGCGGUAAUACGGAGGAUGCGAGCGUUGUCCGGAAUUACUGGGUGUAAAGGGAGCGUAGGCGGGACU
rnacentral:rRNA from 1 species